CUUCCAGUAGCACCUUAGAGACCAACUAAGUUUGCUAUUGGUAUGAGCUUUCGUGUGCAUACACACUUCUUCAGAUACAAUAACAAACUUAGUUGUUCUCUAAGGUGCUACUGGAAG